rnacentral:rRNA from 1 species
GAUGAACGCUGGCGGCGUGCUUAACACAUGCAAGUCGAACGGAAAGGCCAGUGCUUGCCCUGGUACUCGAGUGGCGAACGGGUGAGUAACACGUGGGUGAUCUGCCCUGCACUUCGGGAUAAGCCUGGGAAACUGGGUCUAAUACCGGAUAGGACAAUGGUUUGGAUGCCGUUGUGGAAAGUUUUUUCGGUGUGGGAUGAGCUCGCGGCCUAUCAGCUUGUUGGUGGGGUAAUGGCCUACCAAGGCGUCGACGGGUAGCCGGCCUGAGAGGGGGUACGGCGACAUUGGGACUGAGAUACGGCCCAGACUCCUACGGGAGGCAGCAGUGGGGAAUAUUGCACAAUGGGCGCAAGCCUGAGGCAGCGACGCCGCGUGGGGGAUGACGGCCUUCGGGUUGUAAACUCCUUUCGCUAGGGACGAAGCGUAUUUGUGACGGUACCUGGAGAAGAAGCACCGGCUAACUACGUG